UACGUAGGGCGCGAGCGUUGUCCGGAAUUAUUGGGCGUAAAGAGCUCGUAGGCGGCCUGUCGCGUCCGCUGUGAAAUCCCGGGGGCUUAACCCCGGGCCUGCAGUGGAUACGGGCAGGCUGGAGGCAGGCAGGGGAGAACGGAAUUCCCGGUGUAGCGGUGAAAUGCGUAGAUAUCGGGAGGAACAUCAGUGGCGAAGGCGGCUG
rnacentral:rRNA from 1 species